CUCUGGGCUAGCUCGACAGGUGCCCCAGGCCGAGGCCGCUCGGGGGGGAGAAUAGGGAAGCCGGUGAGAAUCCGGCGCGGGGCCGCCGCUGUAAUCGGCCAGGCUUCGGACCGCAGGGCCACUGCCCCCCACGGGGGCGGGAAGGCCGUCCGAAAGCCGUCAUGAGCCGAGAGCCAGAAGACCUGCCCGUCGAGAGCUGUCAGG
rnacentral:ncRNA from 2 species